rnacentral:misc_RNA from 1 species
CACUAACAGAUAAACUGUACGUGAAAGUUUCACUCCUUUCCUUGGAAAUUUUAAAUAAUUGCUCAAGAGUUCGAUAAUUGACUCCCCUGUUUUGCUCAGUGCCCUCCAUUGUAAACGUCUUUCCUGUUCCCGUUUGACCAUAUGCAAAUAUACAAACAUUGUACCCAUCUAGCACUGAGAUGACCAGGGGCGAGGCAUCCGCAAAUACAUCAACUUGGUUAUCGUUUGGUGUGUAAACCCUGUCAAAUUUAAAAGUCUUUCUAGUGGAGCCACCAGUUAGAAUCCCAAGAUCUCCAUCCUUUGCUGCUUCAAAGUCAACAACCAUUUUAUAUCCAGCUGGUAUCUCCUCCUUAAUUAAUGGGCGACACCGGCAGAAAACCCUGAUAUUUCCUUUAGCCUCCUGAAUUUGGUUAUACAGCUCCUUUCUCUUUGCUUGCUCUUCACUAUACUUUGCCUUGAGAUCUUCACAUUGUGCAACCAAUGCCUUAACUCCUGUGACCAUGUUAUUCAACUGAGGUAUAGAACCAGCACAUUCAUGUGCCUCACGAGAAAGCUGACAUUGCUCUUCCUUCAUCAUUUUAAUUUUUUCUUGUAAAUUCUUGACUGCUGCUGCCCAGUAUUUUUUAUCACGUUCAUAUAUGCUGGUAAUAUUCCUCAGAUUUUCAGAUUGUUUCCCCAUAGUUUGAACUAAAGAGCGGGUCUCAAAGGUCUUAUUAUCAAGUUCCAUUCUAGUCUUCUCCAGCUGUUCAUUUGCCGUAGUCAACGACAUCCAAGCCUCAUGACAUUCAUUUGUCUUGCGCUGGCACUCAGUAAUGAGUUCUUGUAUCUUCUUUUCAUAUUUGUCUGUAGCUUUUGUCCGCAUGAGUUUCUUCUGAUCUGAUGAAACUUCAAUCUCAGCAGCACAAUUGUUGCAUUUGAGAUGUUCUUGUGACGUGCAAGGAACUGACACCUUAGGCGCUUUCCUUACGCAAAUUCCACUAACAACUGGGCUUCCCAUAACCCCUUCAAAUCUUAUAACAAGUAUUCCAUCAUCCUUCACUGAGACCAUUGAUUCAACUAAUUGCAACGGCUUAUUGGCUCCAACAACAGAAAAGAUAUCAAAUUCUGUUAAGACCUUCUCUUCCUGCAUGAAUACAUUGAAUACUCUCAUUCCCUUAGGCCCAUUUGUAUUUAUAAUCUCUGCGAAAUGAAGAUCAACAAGAUAGCCUCCGGAAGGAAGAUUAUCGAACCGAUAACAAAAGUUACCCAAUCUUGCAGACUGAUAGAUGAAUGGGUAAUCUACGGCCUCAUUUAUAAGCUCAUUGGUUCGUAAAACAUUUCCUCCUUCAAAAUUGGUGUCACCCAGAAAUUUGACAGUGGAAUCUGCUUCAAUUGAAGCUUCACAUCCAGCAUUUACAAACAUCACAAUUUCAUCUGUGCAAUUCGACCUAGCAAACCCAGAUGGGAUUAGUCUUGAAUUUGAGUCACAAAGCAUAGAAUCAACCAAGGAAUCCCAAUCUCCAUCAAUGACGGAAUCUUUACUUUCUUCGUCCAAUUUGACAUCAUUCCCCCACUCAAAAACCUCAGAAACAGAGGAAUUUGGGAAUAGGGUUUCUGGGUCUUGGUACGGAUUGUUGAAUUGGGUAUCAUCCAUAAAGAUCAGAGCUUUUUGGGGCGUUUGAGAAAUGGGAAACAAGUUUAGGUACAAUCGAAAAGAAAGCUUUCUUGCGACAAAGAUUCGUUUAGAAUUAGAACAAGAGGGAAGAAUGGAAAUCUUAGGUCUUUUGCAUUUCUUUGUGUAGCGUACAGAGAGUGGAGUAGGCGGGGAACGUUCAAAUUUGAAUUCUAC